rnacentral:rRNA from 1 species
UACGUAGGGUGCGAGCGUUGUCCGGAAUUAUUGGGCGUAAAGAGCUUGUAGGUGGUUUGUCGCGUCUGCUGUGAAAAUCCGAGGCUCAACCUCGGACUUGCAGUGGGUACGGGCAGACUAGAGUGUGGUAGGGGGAGACUGGAAUUCCUGGUGUAGCGGUGGAAUGCGCAGAUAUCAGGAGGAACACCGGUGGCGAAGGCGGCAUCCUGGACCGGUAUUGACGCUGGAGGGAGCGAAAAGCGUGGGGGAG